AGCGAACGCUGGCGGCAGGCCUAACACAUGCAAGUCGAGCGCCCCGCAAGGGGAGCGGCAGACGGGAGAGUAACACGUGGGAACGUACCCUUCAGUUCGGAACAACCAAGGGAAACUUUGGCUAAUACCGAAUACGUCCGUAAGGAGAAAGAUUUAUCGCUGAAGGAUCGGCCCGCGUCUGAUUAGCUAGUUGGUGGGGUAAUGGCCCACCAAGGCGUCGAUCAGUAGCUGGUCUGAGAGGAUGAUCAGCCUCACUGGGACUGAGACACGGCCCAGACUCCUACGGGAGGCAGCAGUGGGGAAUAUUGGACAAUGGGCGCAAGCCUGAUCCAGCCAUGCCGCGUGGAUGAUGAAGGCCCUAGGGUUGUAAAGUCCUUUCGGCGGGGAAGAUAAUGACGGUACCCGCAGAAGAAGCCCCGGCUAACUUCGUGCCAGCCGCCGCAGUAACAC
rnacentral:rRNA from 1 species